UAAUGGGUUGAGGAAUUUGACCCACAACCCACUUUUGUGGUGGUGGGUCUGUAGGUGCAACCCAGCCAGGUAAAAUUAUAAAU